GGGGGGCAGACAGGGCUGGCAAGACAGCUGAGCGACUGGAGCAUUUUCUCAUCCCAACACAGCCAAAGCCCUGCACAGGGGCAUAGACACGAACUCUGGAUGGAGAAAGAAAAGACACCAUAGCGAACCAUAAACAGAGAGAAGUCAGAGGUCAUACAUGUAAAACUUGACUGUUUCAGUCGGGCAGGAACAGAAUGGCAAUCUGAAACAAGCGGGCAAUUCACACAGGAAAGGUUAAGGCUAUCAGGAUCAGCCAGAGAACGCAGUCAAGACCUAAAGCAGCCAGAUACACAACCGCUGAAACACACAGUAUGCAAGCACUGGGAUUUCUGACACUCAGCUGGAGGAGUCUUGACUACAGCGUGCCAUAGGUGGUGUUUAUAUUUCCCAUUGCCGGCUUUACUUCUUUCUUCAAGCCCUGCUUUGUAGCUCUUGCACUGUGAACAGAUAUCAGACUGACACAUAUUCUAACUUGAUCUUGAUGAAAGGAAAAGAGAAGACAUUAUCUUCUGGUUCUCCAUACUUCUCCAUACUAUUAUGACAACAUGGAUGCCGCAGAAGAAAGAUGUGAAAUAUGUAUUUCAAAAGCAUUUAAGGAGCACUAGCACACAAUUACAGAGUACAGCAUUCUUACAGUUCACUAUUCCACUGUUGUGCCACGCAGAGCCAUAUACAGAUCCCUCCCCCAGUCCCUGUGCUAUCAUGUGGGUUUGUGUGACCCUUUCCAGGAAUAAGUGGCUUUCUGAUAAUGGAUGGAUGGAUGUUCAAGGCCUAACAAAACAAAGCUGGAGAGCUUUAUUUUCUCAAUGUUUCGAGCUGAUUAAUUAAAGCACUGAAU